rnacentral:sRNA from 1 species
UGAUGUGUUUGUACCACUUGGUGGGAUC